GAGACAGACAGAGAGAGAGAGAGAUCUGAGGAGAAGAGGGAGAACCAAAAUGGAGGCUGACGUGGUGUUAUCAAAGUGGAGUGACCAGGGCUGACAGGUAUUCUGACAUCUGCUCCCUGAGAGGUGACGUGGGAAGUCCUGCACUGUGAGUCCAUUGAGUAGGACACACCCAGGCCUCUUCUUUUCUCCAGGAUAUGUGCAAGAUGAGAGCCAGCCAUCGUCUCCUGAUAGUGGAGAUUUGAUCUGAAGCAUUCAAAUAGGAAAUGAAUGCUCAGAGGAAGCUUCAAAUUUCUUUCUACUUGAAGAAGCUGAAUUGCAGAAGCUAUCUCUGUCCUGUUAAUCACCGGGUCCACAGUGAAACCAGCCAACUUCAGAGAAGACUCUUGUGCUGCGUGACCCCUGACUGUAACCAAGUGUCCUUCUCUCUGAGACGUUCCCUCGGAGCUUGUUCUCACAGCCCUCACCUCCAGUGACCUCCACGAACUUUUCCACACGAGGGGUUCUCUGCUUCCCUCCAUCUGAGCUGCGCAAUUCCACCAGGCCUUUUGCUCCUCUUCAGUCAGGUGCUUUGGAGGUGGGCAGAACCACACCCAACUAGAACAUCUCUUACGUAUCUACUGAGUGUCAGGACCCGGUGCUAAGGGAGGCAGGAAGACGGAGCCGGAUCCUCUGGAACUGGAGUCACAGACAGUUGUGAGCUGCUAUCUGCUUCUCAGAUUGCAUAAAGAUCAUUGUCACCAAGCAGAGCUGAAUAGAGAGCAACACAAGGCGCAAGCUUUAAGCUGUUCCAGGCUUUGAACCGUGUCUACUCUCCACCUCUCAUCAGUGUUGCCGUUAUCCUGAGCAUGGGUCUUGCCCUUCUACCUCAAGAGCAUCGCCUGCCACCAGCUCGAAGACACGGGACAAUCUGGAGCUUCAAACCCAUGUGACAGUCUACUCUGGUCUGGACCUCUGUCCAUUCUCUCUGCUCUAACACAGAGUUCUAGAAAAUAUGCAAUUCUGUAGAGACAUGGUUACCAGAAAAUGGAGCAGCCUGGCUCAUUUAAAAGGUAACAAUUGA